AUUGAACGCUGGCGGCAGGCCUAACACAUGCAAGUCGAGCGGAAGAAGGGAGCUUGCUCCUGGAUUCAGCGGCGGACGGGUGAGUAAUGCCUAGGAAUCUCCCUGGUAGUGGGGGAUAACGUCCGGAAACGGGCGCUAAUACCGCAUACGUCCUGAGGGAGAAAGUGGGGGAUCUUCGGACCUCACGCUCUCAGAUGAGCCGAGGUCGGAUUAGCUAGUUGGUGGGGUAAAGGCCUACCAAGGCGACGAUCCGUAACUGGUCUGAGAGGAUGAUCAGUCACACUGGAACUGAGACACGGUCCAGACUCCUACGGGAGGCAGCAGUGGGGAAUAUUGGACAAUGGGCGCAAGCCUGAUCCAGCCAUGCCGCGUGUGUGAAGAAGGUCUUCGGAUUGUAAAGCACUUUUGUUUGGGAAGAAGGGCAGUAAGUUAAUACCUUGCUGUUUUGACGGUACCAACAGAAUAAGCACCGGCUAACUUCGUG
rnacentral:rRNA from 1 species